CCACAACAGGUGGAGCCUGCGGUUUAAUCGGACUCAACGCCGGGAAACUCACCAGAUAAGACAGCUGAAUGAUAGUCGGGCUGAAGACUCACUUGACUAGCUGAGAGGAGGUGCAUGGCCGUCGUCAGUUCGUACUGUGAAGCAUCCUGUUAAGUCAGGCAACGAGCGAGACCCACGCCAACAGUUGCCAGCUCGUCCUCCGGGAUGGUGGGGACACUGUUGGGACCGCCUCUGCUAAAGAGGAGGAAGGAAUGGGCAACGGUAGGUCAGCAUGCCCCGAAUUAUCUGGGCUACACGCGGGCUACAAUGGGUGGGACAAUGGGUAUCGACACCGAAAGGUGAAGGCAAUCUCCUAAAACCAAUCUUAGUUCGGAUUGAGGGCUGCAACUCGCCCUCAUGAAGCUGGAAUCCGUAGUAAUCGCGUUUCAACAGAACGCGGUGAAUACGUCCCUGCUCCUU
rnacentral:rRNA from 1 species